AGAACGAACGCUGGCGGCAUGCCUAAUACAUGCAAGUCGAACGAACACUCUGACUUCGGUUGGGGUGUUAGUGGCGCACGGGUGCGUAACGCGUGGGAAUCUGCCCUUGGGUUCGGAAUAACAGUUGGAAACGACUGCUAAUACCGGAUGAUAUCGAAAGAUCAAAGAUUUAUCGCCCAGGGAUGAGCCCGCGUAGGAUUAGCUAGUUGGUGAGGUAAAGGCUCACCAAGGCGACGAUCCUUAGCUGGUCUGAGAGGAUGAUCAGCCACACUGGGACUGAGACACGGCCCAGACUCCUACGGGAGGCAGCAGUAGGGAAUAUUGGACAAUGGGCGCAGGCCUGAUCCAGCAAUGCCGCGUGAGUGAUGAAGGCCUUAGGGUGUAAAGCUCUUUACCCGAGAUGAUAAUGACAGUAUCGGAGAAUAACGCCCCCGGCUAACGUCCGUGCCAGCAGCCGC
rnacentral:rRNA from 1 species